ensembl:lncRNA
UUAAUAUCAUGAUUUAACAUGAGUAAGCACAACAAUGCAGUACAAAAUAUAUUUAUUGAAUAUGUAAAAUAUUUUAUAACUAAUAUAUAUGUAUUUAUUAUUUUGUCUUUUUAGUGUGUGUGUGUGUGUGUAUGAGACUUUUAUAUUCCAACAUCUCUUGUUAAAUCUCAUUAAAUGUCGAAGUCAUCUGAAGGCAGACGUCUGAACUUACUGUAAAGAUCAAAAUAACAGGCCUUCGAGGUGUUUCCCGUGACGUGACGUUCUGUAUAUUUCUCUGGUGUCCAGGUCUCAACACCGCAGAGGAAAUGAAGGCCGUAAUGAGCGAUCUGUUUAACAGUCUGUCAUCAGAUCUGGAAUCAGCGGCCGUGAACCCGUCACCUUCACGUCUACAGCAAACGCUUCUGAGCGUCACAUCAGAAAGACUCGCUCACAGCAGCGUCCCUGUGCCAGGUGAACAGAAUGGGUUUGUGUCGGUCUGCCAGCCUCCUCACCGUUGCACAGAAAGCAACAGAAUGCUGCAGAGUCUGCUGUGAUGAUUAGCACUGCGUCUCACACCGGCUUCAGAUCGCCGCAGACGUGACAGCAUGGCUGAAAGUCACGGCAUCAAAGGAAGCGAUAUUAAUGCUGAAGGUCAGAACAUCAAUUCAGGCUGUUCUGCAAAAUUCCCAGUGAAGGACAGAGGCGCGGGUGUGUGUCAGGUGAACGGGAUCGGGUUCUGAAUGAAAGACUCGGAAGACGCACUUCAGGGAGAGGGUGCUUGCUUUCCAGGUCAUUAUUCAAACUCGACGUGAGAUCAGUUUAGCUGUGUUCACGCUGAAGUGUCACGUAAGCCUGUUUCAAGGCCCAUUUACAAAAACACACUUUAUGAAUGAAAAAAAAAAGUCACAUAUGCACUAGUGUUCAAUGGCUUGGGGUCAGUGAGAUUUUUUUUUUUUUUUUUUUUUUUUUUUUUUUUUUAAUUUAAAAUAGUGGGGUUCUAUGUGAAUAUGUGUUAAAAUUUAAUUUAUUUUUGUGAUCAAAGCUGUAUUUUCAGCAUCAUUACUCCAGUCUUCAGUGUCACAUGAUCUUCAAAAAUCAUUCUAAUAUGCUGCUUGAUAAAUAUUUCUGCACUGAAAAAAAUUACACUAAUUUUUUUAAGGUAAGUUGUUGCAAACUAUUUAUUUUAUCUACAUUUACAUAACAACAACAACAACAACAAAAAAGCUGAAAGUUACACUAAAUUUGUUUAUUUAAAUGCAGCUGAAAUAAAUUGAUUGCGACCACUUACCUUAAUAAAUCA